rnacentral:rRNA from 1 species
GACGAACGCUGGCGGCGUGCUUGACACAUGCAAGUCGAACGGAAAGGCCUGCUUUCCCUUGUGGAUUGCGGGUACUCGAGUGGCGAACGGGUGAGUAACACGUGAGUGAUCUGCCCCCAACUUGGGUAUAAGCCUGGGAAACUGGGUCUAAUUCCCGAUAGGACUGCAGGGUGGUGCCUGUGGUGGAAAACGAUUUUCUAGUGGUUGGGGAUGAGCUCGCGGCCUAUCAGCUUGUUGGUGGGGUAAUGGCCUACCAAGGCGGCGACGGGUAGCCGGCCUGAGAGGGUGGACGGCCACAUUGGGACUGAGAUACGGCCCAGACUCAUACGGGAGGCAGCAGUGGGGAAUAUUGCACAAUGGGCGGAAGCCUGAUGCAGCGACGCCGCGUGGGGGAUGACGGCCUUCGGGUUGUAAACUCCUUUCGACCGCGAGGAAGCCACCUGGUUGGAAGGGUGGUGACGGUAGUGGUAGAAGAAGCACCGGCUAACUACGUG